AGAGUUUGAUUCUGGCUCAGAACGAACGCUGGCGGCAGGCUUAACACAUGCAAGUCGAGCGCCCCGCAAGGGGAGCGGCAGACGGGUGAGUAACGCGUGGGAAUCUACCCUUUUCUACGGAAUAACGCAGGGAAACUUGUGCUAAUACCGUAUACGCCCUUCGGGGGAAAGAUUUAUCGGGAAAGGAUGAGCCCGCGUUGGAUUAGCUAGUUGGUGGGGUAAAGGCCUACCAAGGCGACGAUCCAUAGCUGGUCUGAGAGGAUGAUCAGCCACAUUGGGACUGAGACACGGCCCAAACUCCUACGGGAGGCAGCAGUGGGGAAUAUUGGACAAUGSGCGCAAGCCUGAUCCAGCCAUGCCGCGUGAGUGAUGAAGGCCCUAGGGUUGUAAAGCUCUUUCACCGGUGAAGAUAAUGACGGUAACCGGAGAAGAAGCCCCGGCUAACUUCGUGCCAGCAGCCGCGGUAAUACGAAGGGGGCUAGCGUUGUUCGGAAUUACUGGGCGUAAAGCGCACGUAGGCGGACAUUUAAGUCAGGGGUGAAAUCCCGGGGCUCAACCCCGGAACUGCCUUUGAUACUGGGUGUCUAGAGUAUGGAAGAGGUGAGUGGAAUUCCGAGUGUAGAGGGUGAAAUUC
rnacentral:rRNA from 2 species